rnacentral:rRNA from 1 species
UACGGAGGGGGCAAGCGUUGUCCGGAUUUACUGGGUGUAAAGGGUGCUCAGGUGGACUUUUAAGUCAGAUGUGAAAUCUCAAGGCUUAACUGUGGAGAUGCCUUUGAUACUGAAAGUCUAGAGUUUGAAAGAGGUCGAUGGAAUAUCUGGUGUAGCAGUGAAAUGCGUAGAUAUCAGAUAGAACACCAAUGGCGAAGGCAGCUCACUGGGUCAUAACUGACACUGAAGCACGAAAGUGUGGGGAUCGAACAGG